rnacentral:rRNA from 1 species
GGACUACACGGGUAUCUAAUCCUGUUUGCUCCCCUUGCUCUCGCGCCUCAGCGUCAGGAGAAAGCUAGAAAACCGCUUUCGCCACAGGUGUUCUUCCACAUAUCUACGCAUUUCACCGCUACACAUGGAAUUCCAUUUUCUCCGCCAUUCCUCAAGAUCUGGAGUUUCAAAUGCAGCUCCGAAGUUGAGCUUCGGAAUUUCACAUCUGACUUUCAAACCCGCCUACGCGCCCUUUACGCCCAAUAAUUCCGAUUAAUGCUUGCACCCUCCGUAUUACCGCGGCUGCUGGCAC